UGCUUCUAGUCUGCCCUGGAAUAACCC
rnacentral:piRNA from 1 species